CCUACGGGUGGCAGCAGUAGGGAAUCUUCCACAAUGGGCGAAAGCCUGAUGGAGCAACGCCGCGUGGGUGAAGAAGGUCUUCGGAUUGUAAAACUCUUUUGUUAGAGAAGAAAGUGCGUGAGAGUAACUGUUCACGUUUCGACGGUAUCUAACCAGAAAGCCACGGCUAACUACGUGCCAGCAGCCGCGGUAAUACGUAGGUGGCAAGCGUUAUCCGGAUUUAUUGGGCGUAAAGGGAACGCAGGCGGUCUUUUAAGUCUGAUGUGAAAGCCUUCGGCUUAACCGGAGUAGUGCAUUGGAAACUGGGAGACUUGAGUGCAGAAGAGGAGAGUGGAACUCCAUGUGUAGCGGUGAAAUGCGUAGAUAUAUGGAAGAACACCAGUGGCGAAAGCGGCUCUCUGGUCUGUAACUGACGCUGAGGUUCGAAAGCGUGGGUAGCAAACAGGAUUAGAUACCCCAGUAGUC
rnacentral:rRNA from 1 species